AUUCAAUGUCCAUGUAAGAAUCUCAGGGCUAUGGGUCCCUUCCAUAAAACAAAGGAUUCGAUGGUCACUGUAUUGUCCCUCUCACGUAACUAUAACACACCACAAAUUAAGGGUCCAAGAAGCGUCCGUAGCGUGAGUUUAAUGUCUAAUAGUUUACUGCUUUGUGCCAUUUAAUUUUGUACUUUUUUUACAAAAUAUUUUGGAUAUUUCAUUUUGAGGUUUUUCUUUCUAUUUGCCCAUUUAUUAUGUGAGCCAAUAUUUAGUAAACAAGCAGACAGCAAAAACAGGAAGCGGCUUGUAUUCAUGACAUGCAUCACAAAAUGGCGUCAUCUCAUGUCUUCAUUACAUCAUAUUUAUAGCACAACUGGUCUCUGUUAUUAUUCUUUUUGGUAAGUGGGAGGUUUAAUGUUUUAAAGGAACUUUAAUGAAUUACUGAAACAAAUGUCCAUUUGCAAAUUAAGGUUGUAAACUCUGUUCUGACUCUCUAUUAGGUUCUAUGAUUCCAAUGAGAAUGUAGACUAAUGACUUUUCUCCUUUGCUGAAGUCAUGGUGCCAGUCUGCUGCCUUUUAUUGUAAUGUGACACUUUAAAAGGAAAUUAAUUAAAUACUUACAAAAACCCAACAUAUAAUACAUUUAGGCAAACUAUAAUGAAAACAUGCCUUGGAUAUGUUGUAGAACAUGCAAAGUUGUAUUUCCAUCGAUAUUUAAUUUAAAUGAUAUCAAGGUUAUAUUCCCUCCUCCAUCCUUUCUUAAUGGCAUUAUUAAAAC